rnacentral:tRNA from 1 species
GAAAUUGGUAGACGCUACGGACUUGAAAAUCCGUUGGCUUUAUUGACCGUGAGGGUUCAAGUCCCUCUACCCCCA